rnacentral:rRNA from 1 species
CCUACGGGAGGCAGCAGUGAGGAAUAUUGGUCAAUGGACGAGAGUCUGAACCAGCCAAGUAGCGUGAAUGAUGACUGCCCUCUGGGUUGUAAACUUCUUUUAUAUGGGAAUAAAAUGUUCCACGUGUGGGUUUUUGUAUGUACCAUAUGAAUAAGGAUCGGCUAACUCCGUUCCAGCAGCCGCGGUAAUACGGAGGAUCCGAGCGUUAUCCGGAUUUAUUGGGUUUAAAGGGAGCGUAGGUGGAUUGUUAAGUCAGUUGUGAAAGUUUGGGGCUCAACCGUAAAAUUGCAGUUGAGACUGGCAGUCUUGAGUACAGUAGAGGUGGGCGGAAUUCGUGGUGUAGCGGUGAAAUGCUUAGAUAUCACGAAGAAUUCCGAUUGCGAAGGCAGCUCACUGGACUGCAACUGACACUGAGGCUCGAAAGUGUGGGUAGCAAACAGGAUUAGAUACCCGAGUAGUC